rnacentral:ncRNA from 1 species
CUAUUUUAUCUUUAUAUAAUAUAUUAUAUGUAAAAUAAAUGUAAAAAUGUGUCUUACUUUUUUAUUUAAAACUUAUGUAUGAAGUUCAUGUACAUUUUAAUGUUACAUUAUUAUCAUUAGAGAGAGCAUACGGGGAUCCGAAAGAUGGUGAACUAUGCCUGAGCGGAGCGAAGUCAGAGGAAACUCUGGUGGAAGCCCGCAGCGAUACUGACGUACAAAUCGUUCGUCUGACUUGGGUAUAGAGGCGAAAGACUAAUCGAACCGUCUAGUAACUGG